CGGCGACGGGUGAGUAACACGUGGAUAACCUACCUAUAAGACUGGGAUAACUUCGGGAAACCGGAGCUAAUACCGGAUAAUAUAUUGAACCGCAUUGUUCAAUAGUGAAAGACGGUUUUGCUGUCACUUAUAGAUGGAUCCGCGCCGCAUUAGCUGGUUGGUAAGGUAACGGCUUACCAAGGCAACGAUGCCUAGCCGACCUGAGAGGGUGAUCGGCCACACUGGAACUGAGACACGGUCCAGACUCCUACGGGAGGCAGCAGGG
rnacentral:rRNA from 1 species